CCUACGGGGGGCAGCAGUGGGGAAUAUUGGACAAUGGGGGCAACCCUGAUCCAGCCAUGCCGCGUGUGUGAAGAAGGCCCUCGGGUUGUAAAGCACUUUCAGUGAGGAAGAACGCCUGGUGGUUAAUACCCAUCAGGAAAGACAUCACUCACAGACGAAGCACCGGCUAACUCCGUGCCAGCAGCCGCGGUAAUACGGAGGGUGCGAGCGUUAAUCGGAAUUACUGGGCGUAAAGCGCGCGUAGGUGGCUUGAUAAGCCGGUUGUGAAAGCCCCGGGCUCAACCUGGGAACGGCAUCCGGAACUGUCAAGCUAGAGUGCAGGAGAGGAAGGUAGAAUUCCCGGUGUAGCGGUGAAAUGCGUAGAGAUCGGGAGGAAUACCAGUGGCGAAGGCGGCCUUCUGGACUGACACUGACACUGAGGUGCGAAAGCGUGGGUAGCAAACAGGAUGAGAUACCCUAGUAGUC
rnacentral:rRNA from 1 species